GUAAACAUGGCAUAAUUAUGGGUGAUUAUUCAGACUAGUGCACACAUUUUACAGUUCAAACAAGGCAAUGCCGAGCGUGGCAUCCCCUCGUAUGUAACAUAUUUGGGACAAAUAUGGACACUAUAUUUGUAUAUGACACAUGCAGAAAAUGGUAAAUUGAAUACGCAUAUUUGAUACAUAAACUAUUUUUUUAGAAAUCAACCAAAUUAUUCAGUAACUGGAAAUACCCACGGUCUUCCGUCUUAUGAUUAAACCAAAAAUAAAAUGUACAAUAUAAUAUAUAUUCAAUAUUGAUCAAACAAUUUGAAACGCG
rnacentral:lncRNA from 1 species